rnacentral:rRNA from 1 species
UACGUAGGGGGCAAGCGUUGUCCGGAAUCAUUGGGCGUAAAGAGUACGUAGGCGGUCUGAUAAGCACAAGGUUUAAGGCAACAGCUCAACUGUUGUUCGCCUUGUGAACUGUUAGACUUGAGUGCGGGAGAGGAAAGCGGAAUUCCUGGUGUAGCGGUGAAAUGCGUAGAUAUCAGGAGGAAUACCGGUGGCGAAGGCGGCUUUCUGGACCGUAACUGACGCUGAGGUACGAAAGCGUGGGGAGCAAACAGG